GCCGUUAUGGUGGAAUGGCAGACACGCCAGCUUGAGGGGCUGGUGGGAGCAAUCUCGUAUGGGUUCAAGUCCCAUUGACGGCACCA
rnacentral:tRNA from 1 species